AAAAUUCACUUGUUCGAGUGGUAAAAUUUACUCUCCACACCAUCAUACACAAAAUAAAUUGAGUCUCUUUUAUGUAAUUAUACAAUCAUAGUCUAAAAUAUAAAUAUAAAAACCCAACACAAGAAGUUAUAUCCAACCAUUUAAUUAAGAUGCCAUAACAAACAUACAUUAUAGUGCAGUGGAAGUCGUGUCUGUGCCAACAUCUAGAAACCUGAACAGAAGCUAAC
rnacentral:lncRNA from 1 species